GUGUUAUGAUCUUUUGAAAGUCAUGUGCUAUGCAUGCACAGCGUAGCUUGCAUACAUCUUCCUUGCGCAGCUUUGGAGGUGUGUGGAGGAAUUCCCUGGCUUGGAAGACCACGGUGUGGUCAGCAACAGGCUGGCAGACAGACAUGCGGCAGGAGGAAGCGCCACACGGCUAUUGCUGCUCCCCUUGCUGGGUGCUGCUGGCUCGCUCACGUCUCUUCCUAUUGUGGAGGAACAUGCUCAGACUCCAUGUGGAGAGAUAUUGCAUGUGGAGAGGAAGCCUGAAGAGGCAACUGAGGCAGAAUUAGCAGAGACUUCUGAAGCUGACGUGCACCUGUCACGCUUUCAGUGUCUUUAUCCCCAGGAAGGAAACGGAGUAUGGCUGCGUCAGUCUCUAAUAGGAGGAAGAGGAAAUACAGGAUUGUUUGCUAUAAAUGAGGGAGCUGUUAUUGGUUUGUGUUUCCCCGUCUCAGCUUGUUCAUACUUGAGCAGUGGAUGGGCGUCAGUGCUUCUGCAUUUGGGCAUGAGGCUGCCUGUGCAGGUACUGGAGUUGAUUGCAUGUUUGUAGCUGAUUUUAGAGAUUUUGUGUAUGUGUGUGUGUGCGUGUGUGUUUUAUGAUGUUUAUAUGGAUCUCUGCCAGAUUUCUAAGAAAUAAUCUGUCGAGCUUUUUCCUGUGGCCCUGAUAGAUGUUUGCAUUAUCUUUUGGGUUUGGGAAGAGUGAAAUGCUAGGUGGGGCUGGGUGUGUGAGCAAAUCAGAAACGACCAAAAAAACCCUGACUUUUAUCACUUUCUUGUGAAAUUACAAGUCACUUUCUGUUGUUUUAGAAACAUUUCCUUACAGAUGUCUUCAGAAAUUAUCAGAGAUGAAGACAGAACAGUAAUUCUAAUUUACCGAAGGCUACAUAAAAGAUGGAGAAAGCAAAUGCUGUGAAGAAAGCAAACGGUAGUAUUUUAUUUGCGUUUGUUUUCAUUUCUUACUCCCUGCAAAGCUGAGUAAGGGGAAAAGUGAAAUUUUAAUUCUGCACCUAAUUUUCUGAACUCAGGUGCAAAUAAAAUUGUUUUCAACUUUAAAAGCGUGAAAUGU
rnacentral:lncRNA from 1 species